CCUACGGGAGGCAGCAGUGGGGAAUUUUCCGCAAUGGGCGAAAGCCUGACGGAGCAAGACCGCGUGGGGGAAGAAGGCUCUUGGGUUGUAAACCCCUUUUCUCUGGGAAGAACAAAAUGACGGUACCAGAGGAAUCAGCAUCGGCUAACUCCGUGCCAGCAGUCGCGGUAAGACGGAGGAUGCAAGCGUUAUCCGGAAUGAUUGGGCGUAAAGCGUCCGCAGGUGGCAGUUCAAGUCUGCUGUCAAAGACCGGGGCUUAACCUCGGAAAGGCAGUGGAAACUGAACAGCUAGAGUAUGGUAGGGGCAAAGGGAAUUCCUGGUGUAGCGGUGAAAUGCGUAGAGAUCAGGAAGAACAUCGGUGGCGAAGGCGCUUUGCUGGACCAUAACUGACACUCAGGGACGAAAGCUAGGGGAGCGAAUGGGAUUAGAUACCCCAGUAGUCCUAGCCGUAAACGAUGGAUACUAGGUGUUGUCUGUAUCGACCCGGACAGUGCCGUAGCUAACGCGUUAAGUAUCCCGCCUGGGGAGUACGCACGCAAGUGUGAAACUCAAAGGAAUUGACGG
rnacentral:rRNA from 1 species